UGAGGAAUUUUCCGCAAUGGGCGAAAGCCUGACGGAGCGACGCCGUGUGUGCGAUGAAGUCCUUCGGGAUGUAAAGCACUGUCAGUGGGGAAGAUAUUGACGGUACCCACAGAGGAAGGCCCGGCUAACUACGUGCCAGCAGCCGCGGUAAUACGUAGGGGCCAAGCGUUGUCCGGAAUUAUUGGGCGUAAAGGGCGUGUAGGCGGCCUGAUAAGUCAGAUGUUAAAUCUACAGGCUUAACCUGUAGCCGCAUUUGAUACUGUCGGGCUAGAGAGUGGUGGAGGAAAGUGGAACUUACGGUGUAGCGGUGAAAUGCGUAGAUAUCGUAAGGAACACCAGUGGCGAAGGCGACUUUCUGGGCCACUUCUGACGCUGAGACGCGAAAGCCAGGGGAGCAAACGGG
rnacentral:rRNA from 1 species